rnacentral:rRNA from 1 species
UACCAGCACCCCGAGUGGUCGGGACGUUUAUUGGGCCUAAAGCAUCCGUAGCCGGUUCUACAAGUCUUCCGUUAAAUCCACCUGCUUAACAGAUGGGCUGCGGAAGAUACUAUAGAGCUAGGAGGCGGGAGAGGCAAGCGGUACUCGAUGGGUAGGGGUAAAAUCCGUUGAUCCAUUGAAGACCACCAGUGGCGAAGGCGGCUUGCCAGAACGCGCUCGACGGUGAGGGAUGAAAGCUGGGGGAGCAAUCCGG